GAUCCCUGGCAAUGGGCAAAGAGACACCGUGGUGGUGGUGGUGGUGUUCUUAUGUCAGCCAGGGGCAGAGCAGGUGGCAGUCCUUUGUUCAUCCUAGCUUGAGGCCUGGAUUGGUGGCCAAAGCUGUUUCAUGCCUGGGGCACAAAA
ensembl:snoRNA